UGAAUUUAAGCAUAUCACUAAGCGGAGGAAAAGAAACUAACCAGGAUUCCCCUAGUAACGGCGAGUGAAGAGGGAGAAGCCCAGCACCGAAGCCUGCGGCAGUUUUGCUGUUAGGCAAUGUGGUGUUUGGGUCGGUUCGUGGGAUUGCCACUCCACUCGAAGUCCAGCAUUGAGUAUGGUCUACUGGAUUUGGCCCAGAGAGGGUGAAAGGCCCGUACGGGUGGAGGUAUCAGACAUGUGAGGCAAUUCACCAGACCGGCCUUAGAGUCGGGUUGUUUGAGAAUGCAGCCCAAAGCGGGUGGUAAACUCCAUCCAAGGCUAAAUACUAGCACGAGUCCGAUAGCAAACAAGUACCGUGAGGGAAAGUUGAAAAGUACUUUGAAGAGAGAGUAAACAGUACGUGAAACCGCAUGCAGGUAAACGGGUGGCGUCAAGCUGCAAGCCCAGAGGAUUCAGCCGGCUAGUGUGUAGUGUAUGCGCCUGCGCAUCGAACGGCCAGUGUAGGAUUGGGUAGUCUACUGGAAGACAGUAGGCCCUGCCGCAAGGUGGGGAUGUGUGUACCGGGCGGAGGCCGGAACACGCUAUCCGUCUAUUGGGCUGCCUAGCCGGUGCACUUUCUCUGUGGUGAACACCACGACCGGUGGAACUGCCAGUCUGUCAUAGUCAAGUUGUAGUGGGCGGGCUUUCGGGUCUGCCUGCUGUGAUCACGGGCGUACUUGGUAUACGGCGUUAGUGCAUCUUUACGGUGUGCCGACGUGUUAUCGGCUACUAGUCGCUUUAACGGGCCUGCCUAAUGCAUGUUAUAGCCGUGUGUUUGGUGGUCUGGUGGACUUUGAUGGUAAUAAUAACUGUGCAGGGCACCGGAGUUUUCGGCCUCAAAUGCAGUCUGCAUGCGUGCUAUAAGUGUAAUGUGAUUGUGGGUGUCGUCGCGAGCUGGCUGUUGUUGGAUUUGAUUGUCGUGUUGCCUGCGAAAAGUGGGCCCGGCAGUAGUUCGAUGCAGAUUGGUGUCGUUGGCGGCGCCUACCAUGUAGACUGUGGUGGGCCAGAUAGUCUGUGGUGUAGUGGUAGACGAGCUACCCGACCCGUCUUGAAACACGGACCAAGGAGUUUAACAUGUGUGCAAGUCGUAGGGUCCUACGAAACCCGAAGGCGCAAUGAAAGUAAAGCUUUGGCUUCCUUUCGGGGAUGUCUGAAGUGAGGUGAGAUCUUGUCGUUACUCGCAUCAGCUUGCCAGUGGUAGGCAUCAAGAGCGGCAGGCGCAUCACCGGCCCGUCCCAUAAUGUGGUCAUUGGAAGAGGCCGUGGCUGGGGCAACCUGGCUGUGGUACUCACAGUGCGUCAUUGGGGCGGAGCAUGAGCACACAUGUUGAGACCCGAAAGAUGGUGAACUAUGCUUGCGUAGGUUGAAGCCAGAGGAAACUCUGGUGGAGGACCGCAGCGAUUCUGACGUGCAAAUCGAUCGUCAAACGUGAGUAUAGGGGCGAAAGACUAAUCGAACCAUCUAGUAGCUGGUUCCCUCCGAAGUUUCCCUCAGGAUAGCUGGCGCUCAUUCGCAAAAUCAGUUUUAUCCGGUAAAGCGAAUGAUUAGAGGUACUGGGUUCGAAACGAGCUCAACCUAUUCUCAAACUUUAAAUGGGUGAGAUGCCCGGCUCGCCUAAUAGGAGUCGGGCGUUGAAUGUGCGAGUGCCAAGUGGGCCAUUUUUGGUAAGCAGAACUGGCGCUGUGGGAUGAACCAAACGUCCGGUUAAGGUGCCUAAUGCCGACGCUCAUGAGAUACCACAAAAGGUGUUGGUUAAUAUAGACAGCAGGACGGUGGCCAUGGAAGUCGGCAUCCGCUAAGGAGUGUGUAACAA
rnacentral:rRNA from 1 species